GACGAACGCUGGCGGCGUGCUUAACACAUGCAAGUCGAACGGAAAGGCCCUGCUUUUGUGGGGUGCUCGAGUGGCGAACGGGUGAGUAACACGUGAGUAACCUGCCCUUGACUUUGGGAUAACUUCAGGAAACUGGGGCUAAUACCGGAUAGGAGCUCCUGCUGCAUGGUGGGGGUUGGAAAGUUUCGGCGGUUGGGGAUGGACUCGCGGCUUAUCAGCUUGUUGGUGGGGUAGUGGCUUACCAAGGCUUUGACGGGUAGCCGGCCUGAGAGGGUGACCGGCCACAUUGGGACUGAGAUACGGCCCAGACUCCUACGGGAGGCAGCAGUGGGGAAUAUUGCACAAUGGGCGGAAGCCUGAUGCAGCAACGCCGCGGGCGGGAUGACGGCCUUCGGGUGGUAAACCGCUUUCGCCUGUGACGAAGCGUGAGUGACGGUAAUGGGUAAAGAAGCACCGGCUAACUACGUG
rnacentral:rRNA from 1 species